GCCUCUGGUGGCCAAGCAUUCAUAAUGUCGCUUUUUGUUCCUUUGAUGUUGGCUCUUUCUAUCAUUGUGAAGCAGAAUUCACCAAGCCAUGGAUUGUGUACCCACUAACAGGGAAUGUGAGCCAGGUUA
rnacentral:ncRNA from 1 species